rnacentral:rRNA from 1 species
UACGAAGGGGGCUAGCGUUGCUCGGAAUCACUGGGCGUAAAGCGCACGUAGGCGGCUUUUUAAGUCAGGGGUGAAAUCCUGGAGCUCAACUCCAGAACUGCCUUUGAUACUGAGAAGCUUGAGUCCGGGAGAGGUGAGUGGAACUGCGAGUGUAGAGGUGAAAUGCGUAGAUAUCUGGAGGAACACCGGUGGCGAAGGCGGCAUCCUGGACCGAGAUUGACGCUGAUGCGCGAAAGCCAGGGGAGCAAACGGG